GAUGAACGCUGGCGGCGUGCCUAAUACAUGCAAGUCGAGCGAACAGAUAAGGAGCUUGCUCCUUUUACGUUAGCGGCGGACGGGUGAGUAACACGUGGGUAACCUACCUAUAAGACUGGGAUAACUUCGGGAAACCGGAGCUAAUACCGGAUAAUAUUUCGAACCGCAUGGUUCGAUAGUGAAAGAUGGUUUUGCUAUCACUUAUAGAUGGACCCGCGCCGUAUUAGCUAGUUGGUAAGGUAACGGCUUACCAAGGCGACGAUACGUAGCCGACCUGAGAGGGUGGUCCGCCACACCGGAACUGGGGCACGGUCCCAACUCCUAAGGGAGGGAAGAGUAGGGAAUCUUCCGCAAUGGGCGAAAGCCUGACGGAGCAACGCCGCGUGAGUGAUGAAGGUCUUCGGAUCGUAAAACUCUGUUAUUAGGGAAGAACAUACGUGUAAGUAACUGUGCACGUCUUGACGGUACCUAAUCAGAAAGCCACGGCUAACUACGUG
rnacentral:rRNA from 1 species